CCGCCGUCCGCGCCGGCCUCAUCACCGGGAAAGUGCUUCUGAAGCCAGAGCAGUGGCAUCCGGUGCUGCCACCUAUCGACUUUGGUUCUCCGGCAGCGACUCUGGCUCCAGGGGGCGACGCUGCCGAGACGCUCGCUGGCUUUCAGGGUGCUUCCGAUGGCUCUCACGGCCGCCGGGGGGAGCUGUAACGACGGCACAUGUCCUCCGCGGCGUCGUGGUGCAGCAGCCUGCUGCUCCGGUCGGAGAUCAGAACAGAACAGAGAUCCGUGUACAGAGGUCUCCAGCAUCCGAGUAUGGCUUUCAUGUGGCCGACAGUUUCCUCGGCAAUGUGGAUCUCCUCGGAUUCUAAUUAG